UACGUAGGGGGCUAGCGUUGUCCGGAUUUAUUGGGCGUAAAGAGCGUGUAGGCGGCCGAGUAAGUCCGUUGUGAAAACUCGAGGCUUAACCUCGAGAUGUCAUCGGAAACUGUUCGGCUAGAGUCCGGAAGAGGAGAGUGGAAUUCCUGGUGUAGCGGUGAAAUGCGCAGAUAUCAGGAAGAACACCUAUGGCGAAAGCAGCUCUCUGGGACGGUACUGACGCUGAGACGCGAAAGCGUGGGGAGCGAACAGG
rnacentral:rRNA from 1 species